GAAAAUUAUUUUAAUUGACGUGACAUACACAAUAAAAAUUUAUCAUGAGAAGUACGUCUUUGAUUCUACUCUUUGCUAUGGUCGGAGCUUUGAUAUACUCCGAAGUAAGCGGUACUUUGGUCGGACCUAAUAUUUGUCGCAUAAUUAAGUGUAAAAAACCAAUUUUAAAACGUGGUUAAAUAACCGUUGUGUCCUGGAAUAAAUGAAAGGUCCUGAUGAGAUAUAAGCAUAAUAUUAUACUAUGAAAAUAUAAGAUUCUAUGAGAAGUUAA